rnacentral:precursor_RNA from 13 species
AGCUCUACCCAGUGGUGGCUACGGACACAGCACACUCUCUGAACCCACUGCUCAUCUGCAUAGAUCGUGACAUGGGAUUGGAGAGUGACCUGGGUCAUAGUCGUGUGGUCUAUUAACAUGG